rnacentral:rRNA from 1 species
AGGGUUUGAUCAUGGCUCAGGACGAACGCUGGCGGCAUGCCUAACACAUGCAAGUCGAACGAGAAAGUUCCUUCGGGAGCAAUUAAAGUGGCGCACGGGUGAGUAACGCGUAGACAAUCUGCCCUUCAGUCUGGGACAACUUUUCGAAAGGAGAGCUAAUACCGGAUAACAAUGCAUGACACAAGUUGUAUAUUUGAAAGCUUUAUGUGCUGAAGGAGGGGUCUGCGUCCCAUUAGCUAGUUGGUAAGGUAAAGGCUUACCAAGGCAACGAUGGGUAGCGGGUUUGAGAGGACGAUCCGCCACACUGGAACUGAGACACGGUCCAGACUCCUACGGGAGGCAGCAGUGGGGAAUAUUGCACAAUGGAGGAAACUCUGAUGCAGCAAUGUCGCGUGAGUGAAGAAGGCCCUUGGGUCGUAAAGCUCUUUUAUGGGGGAAGAUGAUGACGGUACCCCAAGAAUAAGCACCGGCGAACUAUGUGCCAGCAGCCGCGGUAAUACAUAGGGUGCGAGCGUUGUUCGGAAUUACUGGGCGUAAAGGGCGCGCAGGCGGAAUAGUAAGUCGGAGGUGAAAGCCCGGGGCUCAACCCCGGAGGGUCUUUCGAAACUACUAAUCUAGAGAGGGUCAGGGGCCGGCAGAAUUCCUGGUGUAGAGGUGAAAUUCGUAGAUAUCAGGAGGAA